rnacentral:rRNA from 1 species
GGAUCCAGACUUUGAUCCUGGCUCAGGAUGAACGCUAGCUACAGGCUUAACACAUGCAAGUCGAGGGGAAACGACAUCGAAAGCUUGCUUUUGAUGGGCGUCGACCGGCGCACGGGUGAGUAACGCGUAUCCAACCUGCCCACCACUUGGGGAUAACCUUGCGAAAGUAAGACUAAUACCCAAUGACGUCUCUAGAAGACAUCUGAAAGAGAUUAAAGAUUUAUCGGUGAUGGAUGGGGAUGCGUCUGAUUAGCUUGUUGGCGGGGUAACGGCCCACCAAGGCAACGAUCAGUAGGGGUUCUGAGAGGAAGGUCCCCCACAUUGGAACUGAGACACGGUCCGAACUCCUACGGGAGGCAGCAGUGAGGAAUAUUGGUCAAUGGACGAGAGUCUGAACCAGCCAAGUAGCGUGCAGGAUGACGGCCCUAUGGGUUGUAAACUGCUUUUAUAAGGGAAUAAAGUGAGUCUCGUGAGACUUUUUGCAUGUACCUUAUGAAUAAGGACCGGCUAAUUCCGUGCCAGCAGCCGCGGUAAUACGGAAGGUCCGGGCGUUAUCCGGAUUUAUUGGGUUUAAAGGGAGCGUAGGCCGGAGAUUAAGCGUGUUGUGAAAUGUAGACGCUCAACGUCUGCACUGCAGCGCGAACUGGCUUCCUUGAGUACGCACAAAGUGGGCGGAAUUCGUGGUGUAGCGGUGAAAUGCUUAGAUAUCACGAAGAACUCCGAUUGCGAAGGCAGCUCACUGGAGCGCAACUGACGCUGAAGCUCGAAAGUGCGGGUAUCGAACAGGAUUAGAUACCCUGGUAGUCCGCACGGUAAACGAUGGAUGCCCGCUGUUGGUCUGAAUAGGUCAGCGGCCAAGCGAAAGCAUUAAGCAUCCCACCUGGGGAGUACGCCGGCAACGGUGCAACUCAAAUGAAUUGACGG